GGCUCUGUAGUGUAGCGGUUAUCACGGCGGAUUCUGAUUCAUUGAUGUUCCGUCAACCCAGGUUCGAGCCCUGGCAGGGCCU